rnacentral:lncRNA from 1 species
GAGCAGUGAAGAGUACUGUCUGCAACUCCAGAGGGCUGGGGCUCAGUUCCCAGCACCACAUGGUGGUUCGCAACUGUCGGUAACUCUAGUUCAAAAGAUCCAAUACUGUCUUCUAGCAUCCCACAGAACUAGGCAUAAAUAUUGUGCAGGCAAAACACCCAUAAACAUAAAUAAAAUUAAGAAGGAAGGAAGGGGGAGGGGUGGGUGGAGAGGGAGGGACUGGAGGGAUGGCUCUGUGCAACCUUCUUGCAGAGGAUCCGAAGCCAGUGCCCAGCACCCUGUGCAGGGAGGUUUAUAAUCCCUUGUGAAUCCAGCUCCAGGGAGCUCGAGUCUCUUCUGGCCUCUUCAGGUACUUGCACCCAAAUACAUGUGUGUACAUACACAUACACACACACAAUUAAAACAAUACUUUUAAUGGAAUGACAUCUAUUUACACAUUCUGAAAGUCACUGACUCCUUAUUAUUCAGAAAUAAUGCCAGAUUGUGGUAUUUCUAAAAGUUAAAAAAAAAAAAAAAAAA